GUUUCAAAUGUCAGUUUCAAGUUUACUUGAAUUUUUGUGGAAUUUAUUACUGCAAUGUUUAAAUUAGAUUUCCAGAUAAGAACUAGACAGAGAAUACUUGAGUAACCAGCUGCUAAGCAUGGCUCCUAAUGCCUUUAUAAACCUCUUUCUCUCCUGUUGGAUAAAAUCGAGGCAGGCACACUUUAAUUCACAUGAGCAUGUAUCACACUUCCUAAUAUAGGGUUUUAAUUGAUUAUUGAAUGUAUCAUAAUAUUGGGGAAUAUGGAGGCCACUUUGCUUUCAUCUGUCUGAUUUGUUUUUCACAAUUUCAAAUACUUUUUUUUAUUUGAAAGCCUAAACCAACUCUGGCCCUCAGUAUCCAUUCCAGUCCUGAUAAUUGUAUUUGAAACAGCUAGGUGUCACUGAACUAAUUUAGGAUUUGAUGUAAUCAAAGUCCUUGACUGGACCACAAUACCUUGUUAGAAGCAGAGUGUUCCAUACCUUUUUUUUUCAUUGGACCUUUUUUUUUUUUUUUUUGCUCGGACAGGACUACAGUCUCAUAUUGAAAUCCUGAAGACCACAAUUGAAAGGCACAAGAAGCACAUAGCAGAAAAGGAAUCCGAGCUGAUACGCAAAGUUCAUGCAAUCAGAGAGGAAGAAUUUCAAAAACUUACAGCAGUUCAAGAUGAAAAGGCCAAAGUGCAACAACAAGGGCUUCUCCUAGAAGAGCUGGAGAGAGAGAAAAAUGGGAAUGUCGGUCUUAGACAGCAAAAACAUGACCUCCAAAUUGAAGUGACAGCACUGUCACAUUCAGAAAGCGACUUACUUGAUACCAAUCUGAAACUGUGUUAAAUGCUGGAACGAAUAAAAGAGGAAAUACGAAAUGCAAGAAGCCAAGCAGAAAAGGCACAGCAGGAAGCAGAAAAGUACACCCUUAAUUCUGUUUUUAUUACUUGUGAAAUCUGCCUCGCGUUCAAACGGAUGAGCCAAAUACUUGAAGCAUUUUUAUUGACCCUAAACGAAUACAUUUGUCAUAGAGCUGAACUUGAAGAAAAAAAAACAAAAACAGUGUAAUCUAAGAAGGGCAUUUAUUUUAAAACUGAUGUCCUUCCUCAUUUAAGACUUUGAAAUAUCUGUCACUUUCAGUUGUUGUUGUUGUUGUUGUGUCCUUGAACAUGCAUAAAUACAUACAAGAGGUUGAGGUGAUUAUUGGUUUAUGACAAACCUUCAAUAGAAAGUGUACAGCAGCAGCUACUUUUGAAAAUGGUGACUUGUGUGGAUGUUAAACCAAAGUUUUAAAAUCAGUUUUAUUACUUCUUAAUCACAUUAUCAACUGCACAACUGGUUAUCUAAUAUAUAGAAAAAUGUUUAUUUAAGUUGUACAAGCAUUGCUGUUUGCUUCCUGUGGUGUGUUUCCUUGGUAAAGCAAGACAGUCAACUUGGUGGACCAUGUAAGAGAUUGUAUCAUAGGAAGUAGUAAAGGAAGAGGUUUUUUGAACCCUGUAGAGGGGAAACUUAAAGAAAAAUCGGUUAAACAGGCAACCACUAAAAACAUAACGUGGUAAUGUUGUUAAAAUGAAGCAUUUAGUAACAUUUCAAUCAGAAAUGUGGCUAUUUUGUUCAAUAUUGUUAAUUUAUUUCUGUUUUAUAAUUCUCUCUGUGGUUUUAUAGAUUUCCUGCAGUUUAAAACUUACUUUUUAAAGCAUUCCACAAAGUAAUUGAUAAAUUGUUACAAUUCACAGUUGGAAUCUCUAGAGGUUUACAUAUUGAAUUAUUCAGAACUUGCAAAUAUUUAGCUAGUCGUAAAAAUAGGCCUUUAAAAUAUUCAUCAAUAAUCACUCACCACAGCUACAACCAAAGUGCAAUUUAUAUUUGAUAGUGAGAAGCCAAAGUUUUGAGCCCAGCAAAUAAUUUUUAUCCACUGUCUGGCAUUGCAUUUCACUGACGGCAGCAUUACAGUUGUACCAAAACACAGCUAUUUGAGUGCUUUCACUGCAUUGUUGUAGCAAAUGGCAACAUGUGGUUAUGUUUUAUGUGUCCUAACAAAUUCCCAUCUGCCCCUUUUUUAUUUGAAGAGUUCUUGAAGAUAGAUGUAUAGAAUGGCUAGAAGAGAAACACAAACUGCAGGAGUGUUUUGCUACACUAGAAGUACUGUCAAGCCAAGGAGAAGCUGCAGUGAGCUGCACGUGCACAGAAAAAGGUGUCUGUAACUACACACACAUUUUUUACAAUUGGGAACAUAAAAGUGCU